rnacentral:rRNA from 1 species
AAGCCUGAUGCAGCGACGCCGCGUGAGGGAUGACGGCCUUCGGGUUGUAAACCUCUUUCAGCAGGGACGAAGCGCAAGUGACGGUACCUGUAGAAGAAGGACCGGCCAACUACGUGCCAGCAGCCGCGGUAAUACGUAGGGUCCGAGCGUUGUCCGGAAUUACUGGGCGUAAAGAGCUCGUAGGUGGUUUGUCGCGUUGUUCGUGAAAACUCACAGCUUAACUGUGGGCGUGCGGGCGAUACGGGCAGACUUGAGUACUGCAGGGGAGACUGGAAUUCCUGGUGUAGCGGUGGAAUGCGCAGAUAUCAGGAGGAACACCGGUGGCGAAGGCGGGUCUCUGGGCAGUAACUGACGCUGAGGAGCGAAAGCGUGGGGAGCGAACAGGAUUAGAUACCCUGGUAGUCCACGCCGUAAACGGUGGGUACUAGGUGUGGGUUUCCUUCCUUGGGAUCCGUGCCGUAGCUAACGCAUUAAGUACCCC